GCUUGCGACCAUAACUACCUGGCUAUGCCUGAUCUCGUCUGCUCUCGGAAGCUAAGCAGGUUUGGGCCUGGUUAGUACUUGGAUGGGGGACUACCUAGUAAUACCAGGUGCUGUAAGAU
rnacentral:rRNA from 1 species